CUUCCUCAUGCGUGUCUCUGGAAAUUUAAAAAAAAAAACAGAGAGCUCGUGUGAGGUGGAGAAAUGGCCGAGAGAUGGAAAUGAGAGAGAGCAGGGCCGAGGCAUCACGAGAUCGGCCAAGAGAGAUCGAGCGAUUGAGAGAGUGAUCGCGAGGGAGAGAUGCAGAGAUGGCCGAUCGAGUGCAGCCAUGGCCGACGUGCGAGGGAGGCGGCAGCGAUUGGGAGGCUCACGUCAAGGCCUUACGAUAGAGGCUGAUGGUCGUGAGGAAGGCCAGCAUUGCAACAGCAGCAGGGAUCGGCGGUGCCAGCAGCUUCAAGAGGCUUUAGCCGUGACAUUGGAAGCUCCAGCGGCCGUCAAUGGCCGCUGGUUGUAAUGGGCCUGGUCGCGCAUAGGCAAGGCGCGCGAUGGUGCUAGCCGCCAACGGCGGCCGAUGUAGGGUUGGCGACGGUGGCGCGAGCAGUAGUGACGGUAGGCGGCAGGCGGCUGGAGGAGCUGGCGCAGGUCAGCCAUGGUAGAAGAAGAAGACGAACGCGUGAAGAAGAAGAACAGUGGAGGUGAAGAAGAAAGGAGAAAAGAAAAGAAAAAUAAAAGAAAAGAAAAUAAUAAAAAAUGAGAAAAUAAGGGGAAAAUAGCUAGAAAAUCUCCAAAAAAUGGGAGAAAAGUCUGGAAAGUAUUUUGGGGCUCGAUGGGCGUGCCAGAAGCUCGGAAAUGGGGUUUUGAUCACAAGGCGGCCUCCCAUGAGUCAUUGUCGGGUUGGGCAUUUUUUGAAUUUGUCCUCCAGAUUGGUUGAGGUUCGACUGAGAAAGCAGUGAUCCUAGAAGAGCUCGGAGUUCGGGCUGGCGUUCUUGCCGAUGCAGAGAUGAGGCUUCGAGCCAGGUGUUGAAAGCCUCAAGGGAAAGGUGAAAUGGGAGGGAAAUGGCUAUAUAUUUUGGUUGAAAUGUAAAAUAAAUUAUGUUUCAUUUUGGUUUCAUGUGUAUGAACCUCCACAAAUAAGGUUAGAUGUAAUAUUUUCCACUUUAUUGUGUAAGCCUUGUAGAAGAAGAAGAUGGAUAUUUUCUUGUAAGCUUUUGUGGCAAAUUUGUGGAUGGUUGAUGUAUGUUAUGGAAACAUCAAGAGCAUGGUUUAAGCCUUGAUUUUGGAGAAAUAGAGGCUAAAAAUUGAAGGAAAAUGAAGUUUAUUUAUUCAUUUUAAUUUCUGGAAAUUUUGGGUUAGGAGGCCCAAGAAGAAGAGAAAAAAAAAAAGAAAAAAAAAAGAAUAGAAGUGAAGGAGCAGCCAGCGGCCAGCAGCUGCAGCAGGCAGCAAGGCGGCCGCGCCCGCAGCCAGCCGCGCUGGCGCGCGCGGCAUGCCC